AUACGGAAGGUCCGGGCGUUAUCCGGAUUUAUUGGGUUUAAAGGGAGCGCAGGCGGAGAUGCAAGCGUGACGUCAAAUUUCGGGGCUCAACCCCGUCUCGCGUCGCGAACUGCGUCCCUUGGUUGCGUGAAGGGGAGGCGGAACUCGUGGGGUGGCGGUGAAAUGCAUAGAGAUCACGAAGAACUCCGAUCGCGAAGGCAGCCUUCCGGCCCGUCAACGACGCUCAUGCUCGAAGGUGCGGGUAUCAAACAGGAUUAGAUACCCUGGUAGUCCGCACAGUAAACGAUGGACACCCGCGGUUUGGCCUAUAUGGCUGAGCCGCCAAGCGAAAGCGUUAAGUGUCCCACCUGGGGAGUACGCCGGCAACGGUGAAACUCAAAGGAAUUGACGGGG
rnacentral:rRNA from 1 species